AAGGGUGCUUCUAUUGUUGUAGUGUUUAUAGCGAAAGAGGACAAAAGUCCAGCCGGACACCGUAUAACUCCGAGACAGAGGAGAGUGGAAUUUCGUGUGUAGGGGUGAAAUCCGUAGAUCUACGAAGGAACGCCAAAAGCGAAGGCAGCUCUCUGGGUCCCUACUAACGCUGGGGUGCGAAAGCAUGGGGAGCGAACAGGAUUAGAUACCCUGGUAGUCCAUGCCGUAAACGAUGAGUGUUCGCCCUAAUUUGUCUUUUUCACCAGAUCUGGGUAAAAACUUUUGAAACC
rnacentral:ncRNA from 1 species